GAAGGAAAAUUGUCCACCUUUGCAUUUCUUCCCCCUCCAAAUCCAUUCCUCACAAUGAAGGAAAAAUAACUUCUUCCACUUCAUAUCAAGAAUACAUUAAUCUAUAUAAGAUGAAUGUGCAUUCCAUGUCAAAAGCAGGAGCUUUAACUACUUUUUUCAUUUCGUACUUCUUCCACUGAAGCAGCACUACAAUUUCUUUCCUUUAAUGAGUACCGAUCUGUGGCUAUUUUACGUCAUUUUCCAACACAAUUUGGAUAGCUUUCUCAUUUCUGUAACUUGAAUAGUAUUUUUCUUUCUUCAUGGGUUUAUCAGUUCUGCAGUACUUCAGAGAAUAUUUUCAUGGUGGUUGGAGAUCAGCUCAUCUUACCGGUUUGUUUUCCCUGAUGAGAUUUGGAAAACCCAGGGAUCAUAUAUUGUUUUUGCUUUGGAAGCAAAGUUUUCAGCUAUGUUGAAUCCAAAAGCUGGUUGGAGGUUGAGACUCAAAGGGGAAAGCCUUCAUGGCAGAUGAAUGCUGCUAUGCUAUGUUGAAAUUUGGAUGAAUAAAAUUCUCAUUUUACUUUUUUUUUUUUUGAAACAAAGUUAUUUAGUUUUCAAUAAAUCGUAUCGGGGAGUCAUGAAAAUGUAAACCCAACCAUUUAUAGAUUUAUAUUUUCUUAAACAUUUAUAUAGUUAUUAUAAUUUGUUAUGUCAAUGUAUUAUUAUACAGUUAUAUAAAUUUUAACGUAUUACUAAUUCAUGUAAUAUAAGUUUUGAUACAGAAAAGAUGAAAAUUUCACUUCCAACAAACAA